CGGACGGGUGAGUAAUGUCUGGGGAAACAGCCUGAUGGAGGGGGGUAACUACUGGAAACGGUAGCUAAUACCGCAUAACGUCGCAAGACCAAAGAGGGGGACCUUCGGGCCUCUUGCCAUCGGAUGUGCCCAGAUGGGAUUAGCUAGUAGGUGGGGUAACGGCUCACCUAGGCGACGAUCCCUAGCUGGUCUGAGAGGAUGACCAGCCACACUGGAACUGAGACACGGUCCAG
rnacentral:rRNA from 1 species